UGACCAACUUUUACUUUUUGGCAGAAAACACCAAAAAAGUGAGAGGUGCGAGCUAGUCAUUUGACAAAAAGUGAAAAGAAGUAGGGGGAGGAGUAGGUGGAGACUUCUCAUUUUUGACCGAAAGGUUCGUGGGGUUUUUUCCUG
ensembl:ncRNA K01A6.16 ncRNA